UACUAUUCUAGAUGUUAUUAUAUAAGGCUUGAGUAGUAAUAGUUAUAUUCUUAAAACUCAAAAAAUUUGGCGGUGUUUUAGUCUUAUCAGAGGAAUUUGUCCCGUAAUCGAUAGUCCACGUUUUACUUUACUUAAUUUGGUUUACAGCUUGUAUACCGUCGUCAUCAGGAUAUAUUAAAAGAUUAUAUUCGAGAUUUAUUAGUAUUAAAUAUGUCAGGUCAAGGUGCAGUUUAUAAUUAAGAGGAGAUGAAUUACAAUAUAAGUAUAUAUACGGAUUUAAAAAUGAAAGGUUUUAAUGAAGGAGGAUUUGGGUGUAAUAAAAUAUAGAUAGAUUUUAUGAUAUAAAGCUCUAAAACAUGCACACAUCGCCCGUCGCUCUCAUUUUAAGGU
rnacentral:rRNA from 1 species